rnacentral:rRNA from 1 species
GGAGCAACGCCGCGUGCAGGAAGACGGCUUUCGGGUUGUAAACUGCUUUUAUUGGGAAGAUUAUGACGGUACCAAAUGAAUAAGGACCGGCUAACUACGUGCCAGCAGCCGCGGUAAUACGUAGGGUCCAAGCGUUAUCCGGAAUUACUGGGCGUAAAGCGUACGUAGGCGGCGCGUUAAGUGAUAUGCGAAAUCCAGCGGCUCAACCGUUUGGACUGUAUAUCAUACUGACGUGCUAGAGGAUGGCAGAGGCAAGUGGAAUUGGUAGUGUAGCAGUGAAAAUGCGUAGAUAUUACCAGGAACACCAAUGGCGAAGGCAGCUUGCUGGGCCAUUUCUGACGCUGAGGUACGAAAGCGUGGGGAGCGAACAGGAUUAGAUACCCUGGUAGUCCACGCCGUAAACGAUGCAUACUAUUAGUCUGGAGUAUCGACCCUCUGGGCUGAGAAGCUAACGCGAUAAGUAUGCCGCCGUGGGGAGUACGAGCGCAAGACUU